rnacentral:rRNA from 1 species
GACGAACGCUGGCGGCGUGCUUAACACAUGCAAGUCGAACGGACCUUCGGGUUAGUGGCGAACGGGUGAGUAACACGUGGGUGAUCUGCCCUGCACUUUGGGAUAAGCCUGGGAAACUGGGUCUAAUACCGAAUAGGACCACGCGCUUCAUGGUGUGUGGUGGAAAGCUUUUGCGGUGUGGGAUGGGCCCGCGGCCUAUCAGCUUGUUGGUGGGGUAAUGGCCUACCAAGGCGACGACGGGUAGCCGGCCUGAGAGGGUGACCGGCCACACUGGGACUGAGAUACGGCCCAGACUCCUACGGGAGGCAGCAGUGGGGAAUAUUGCACAAUGGGCGCAAGCCUGAUGCAGCGACGCCGCGUGAGGGAUGACGGCCUUCGGGUUGUAAACCUCUUUCGCCAGGGACGAAGCGCAAGUGACGGUACCUGGAGAAGAAGGACCGGCCAACUACGUGCCAGCCGCCGCAGUAACAC